rnacentral:lncRNA from 1 species
CUUCACCUCCCCCCGUGUCUGGAACAACCCCUCCUUCAGUACCUCCACCAUCACCACCGCCAUCUCCGCCGCCAGCUCCGGAUGCACCGCCACCGGUGACACCGAGCUCUCCAUCUCCACCGCCACCGGUGACACCGAGCUCUCCAUCUCCACCGCCACCGGUGACACCGAGCUCUCCACCUCCACCCCCACCAUCAGCACCAAUUCCAUCAAGAAGCCCUCCUUCACCGCCACCACCAUCAAACCCUCCUAAUAACACAUCUC